rnacentral:lncRNA from 1 species
UCUAAUUAAAUAUUAUUUAAUACUGGAAUAAACCAUAGCAAAUGAAAAUGCUUUUUGCAUCAACUGAAAUAUUAUAACACGAUGUUAAAAGAAUAUAGUUACAAAAAUUUAUAUUCGUAAUCGUUGAUUGAUUUAUACUUGCCGCAGAAAAAGAUUCAUGCGAUGAAACGUAUAAUCCCCCAAUGGAAAGCAAGCAUGGUUUCAGACUCCUUCUAAUCAGAAAUAACAAAAGUAAUUGUGUAUUUUUCGAGAGCAAAUAAAAUGGAACUUGACACCUGAAAAGAAAAUAUAUUUUGUUUAUCAUAUUAAUUAUAAAUAAACUUUGUAAUUACUUACAAUUCCUUGAAAACAGUUUCACUAAAAUUCAAUAGCAUUUGACCAAUAUAAAAAUUAAUAUAUAUUCCGAACAGUGAGCCAGUUAUGUAGAUACCGAACUCAAUUAUUUUUGGUAAAUUUUGAAUAGUUAUAGAUAAUUGAAAUAUCUACAAUUGAAAUAUAAAUUUAAUAUAUCAAAUAUGUUUUGUGAUUAGUUAUUACUAAUAAAGUUAGUGAACAAAACACUAACUGAAUUAAUUGUAGAAUGUCAAGAAAAUUUAUUGACAAGGGUAGGAAUCACGUAGAUUAACAAAAUCAUAAAUCAUUGCUUUUUGUAAAAAUUGUUGUUUACUUACGUACGUAAUACUUACGUAAAUAAAAUCAAGAACAACGAGGAGCAUUGCAAUAGAAACAAUAAUUAGAUAAAUUAUCUGUGAAUAAUUAUUGAUUGAAUCAGUAUAUCUGAAAACGAUAAAAAAAAAUUAAUUAGGAUAAUACUAAUAGAAUACAAAAUCUAUGAUCAAUUAUUUUAAACUAACUCCGUCAAUUUUCUAUAACUAACUACAAUGUCUACUAUCCAGUUAAAUUCUGUCAGCGGUUUUAUUUCUUGAUCCAAAAUUCUUAAAACACAUUCUUGAUCAGGUUUAAACAUUCGCUGUAUUUUACAGCUGAAAUACAAAACUUAAAAAUAAUAGACGUAAAAAUUAUAAAUAAAUACAAUUAAAUACAUACAUUAUGAUACUAAAUUGACAGCAUGCGUGUUGUACCAUUACUAAAUAUGUUGUAAAACAUACGAUACCAAUUAUAAGAAACAUAUAAAAUCCUAUUGUUUGAUUAAUAAGCACAAAAUAAUAUAAUACUCCUGCAUUUGUAAUACUAUUACCAGCAAAGGGUAAUGUUAAUUGAUUACUAUCUAAUAUACCAAGCAAAUAAAGAAGAACUUUGAAGAAACAUGAUGAUGUUAUCGAGAUAACGUAGAAACUGAAUAAAACUGUAAUUAUACGAGAAUUUUAAUAUCUGCAUAAAAUGAUGUUUUAAACUGUGGAGAUCGAAUAACAUUAAAAUAACAAUUACCCACGAUACCAUACGUAUAGAUCUUGUUUUCUUUAUUAUACUUUUUCAUAAUUUUUAAUUCUUCUUCGUCGGAUAAUUGCUUGCAAUCUGUGAUUAUUCGUGAUAAAAUUAACUUUAACUGAAUAUAAAAGAUUUUUAUUUCAUUAAUUUUUGGAAAUUUUUAAAAGAAAAAGAAACAAAAAAUUCUACUAACAGUUGUACAAUGAAAAUAAGUUGAACUGUAAGCGCAGUACAUGAUAAGACCUCCUAAAAAUUUACGUAGCUCCAUCAAAGUUUCAUCUAAAUUGAAACUUGUUGUCAAGAGUUCGUAUACCUUUAAAAGAAAAAUUAUUAUUCUAAAGUAAUGUAAUGUAUUAUAGUGAAAAUUUAAAAAAAUGUAUAAUAUGUAUUUAUAAUGAGUCUCCAUAUGAAAAAUUUUUAACGAGUAUAUCUGUUUAAAGAAAUGGAAGAGAAAUAAGCAUUUCUGUAAUAAUAAUUAGACACGGCAUGAAGAAAAUAGUUUGGUCUUGAAAUUUGAAUAGAUGCUCGAAAAAUAAUAAUAUAGAGAAAUUAAAGGCAAAAAAACAAAUACGUAAAUGUAUGAAGAAAAAAAGAGACAUUUAUAAAUACGUAUCAUUAUGCAAUAAAUUUAUUCGAAAUCCUUUAAUUACCAAAUGAUUAAGUGUGAAGUUACGAAACUUGACAAUUCACAAAAUUUAAUAGAAGUAUAAUAUUUGUCAGCAUUUACAAAAGAUAGUUUAACAUUAAAUACGUACACUUAAAAAAGUAACACGUACCAGACUAGAAAGCAUCGGUAUAAAAUAACAUGUUAUUAAACAAAGUAUUAGAAAUCGAUUUUUAGAAUUUUCAUUAGAACGUAAACGCAAUAUUAUUUGAACUAGUCGGUUCGAAAAGAGGAAGUGUUGUUCGAAAAACUUUACAUCUCUCGUAGCCAUUGUUAAAUAACUAACGUUUCUUUCAGUAACGUAAAGAAUCUAAUCCCCACUUUUACUUACUCUUUAAUUUUAAUGGCCAUUCAUUACAAUUAUGUAAUAAAGUAUGUAAAUUGGGAAGCAGAAAAUUGUAUGAAAAUGAUUAUACUUAUAUGAUGUUAAGGUAGAAAUACACUUUGUCAAUAUCCGAUACUUUCUAAUAAUGAAAUUUGUAAGAAGUAAGUACGAAAACAGGUGGUUUUUCUCAACAAUUAAACGAAGGGUGCGAUUCCCUCUAUUUUCAAUAUCUAAGGACCUGCGCAGAAGGGUUUAUCGAUUGGAAUCAUGUUCAGUUGCUCUCUGACCACGGUGUAAGUCGAAUGCUCUUGAUUGUGCUAACAGACUGCAACAACAGUUACUAUAGUUUAGAAUUUUCCUAAGAAACGAAAAAAGUGCUAUAACUGUUUAUAAUACGUGUUAGACUCUGUCAAUAAUAGUGUUUUAUAAAUGUUAAAUAUCUACGUAAUUUAAUUCGAUGGAAAGCCUUACGCGAUGAGAGGAAUAAUCCACCGAACGAAAGAUGCAAAAAUUUUGUUAGACGAGACGAAAAUUCCUCCGAUUGAAAGACUACUUGGUUUCAUGCUUCUUGUUAUAGUAAGUAAUAAUAAUUUUUGCGAUUUAAUUGAUAGCAUGUAAAAUGGAAUUUGACAACUAAAAA